ensembl:lncRNA
AUGCAAGCUAGUUAUGUUACAUACAGCCCGUUAUAUAAAGAAAAGUACUUGUAUCCGGAGGUAUAUAAAAUAAGUAAUAUAUAUCCAGAUAGUAGUCAAAACGAUGUAGUUGUAUCUAAUAAUUCAGCCUUUGAAAACUUAACUAAUUAUGUUAAUACUUAUGUUAAUGCUAUUUGUAAUGAAAAUGGUUUUAAUAAUAUGAAUAAUAAAAUGAGUCAGGAAAAUUGUAUAAGGCAACACACAACCGAAUCAGCGUAUGCAGGCAGUGGGAGUAAUAUAAGCAGUUGCAGUGUUAGUACCAAUGUCCAUUUAAGUCAAAUGCAUGUCAACAAUGGUAUGGAUAUUAUUACGUACGAAAGAAAAACAACAUGGUCACAGUUGCUUAAACAAAUGAAAACGUGUAUAGUGCUUAACAAAAUAGAUAUCCAUAAUAGAGUAUGUGUUGGUUCCUGUGGUACUAUAAAAGAUAUGGAAAGGGUAAAAAGUAUAAGUGAUAUCAGUUGUAGCAGCAGAAGUAAUAGUAGCAACAGAAGUAAUAGUAGCAACAGAAGUAAUANNNNNNNNNNCAGAAGUAAUAGUAGCAACAGAAGUAAUAGUAGCAACAGAAGUAAUAGUAGCAGCAGAAGUAAUAGCAGCAACAGAAGUAAUAGCAGCAACAGAAGUAAUAGCAGCAACAGAAGCAGUAAUCAUAGUUACAAAAUGAAUAUCAUAUUGAAUAGCAACCACACAAGUACAAGUAAAAGUACGGACACCAAUAACAUGAUAACAUUUCAUUUGAAAAACCACUUGAACAUAUGUCGCACCAUGAACAAUCACAAUGUAAAUAGUUUGAUAUUACAUUAUCUACUUUUGUAUGAUAAGAACGAUUUAACUAUAUUUUUUGAAUAUUUAAAAAAAAACUUCAAAUGUUUAUACAGCUAUUUUUUUAAUUUUUUAUCUAUUAAUACUAAAAAAGCGUUAAUAAAAAUUUUAAAAAAAAAUGAUAUAUCUUAUUUUAUAAAAAUAAUGUCAGGCACAAAUAAAGAUGUAAUACACAACAUACAAAUGUUGUUAUUUAUUUAUUACCUUUUUAAUAAAAGUUUUUCAUUGCGUAGAGGUAGUAGUGAUGACAGUAAUAUUAGUACUAAUAUAUCCCAUACUAAUUUAAUGGUUAUUUUUCACACAUUAAAAAGAGUUUUUAAUUGUGUACAUUUGGUUGUUAGUAACAAUAAUAAUAGCAAUAAAUAUGGUAAAAAAAAAAAAAAAAAUAAAAAAAUAAGUGGUUUAGCUAAAUCAAUCAUGAAUUUGUACAUAUAUGGUAAUAACUCAUAUGAUGAAUAUUCCAAUUGGAGUAAUAACAAGCCAAUUGAGCAUAGCUAUUCUGAAGGUAACAUACGUUUUAGUAAAAAACAAGGCUCCAUAAUUACAAAAGAUAAUAUAAAUAAUUGUACUACAUUAAGGGACAUAACAAAUGAACAAUUUUUUACACUCAUGACUUACGUAAUAAAAGAAUUAAAUAAUUAUGUUUUGAAAAAAUUUGAAAACAAUUGUUUAUGUUUAAAUUAUUAUUUUUUGUUAAAUUUGGAAAGAAGUAAACUGAUUAAUAUGUGCUUAUUUUUCAAUAAAAUAAAAAAAAGCUUAUUUUUAUGGCAUAAAUAUUGUAUUACAAAAAGAAAAAAAAAAAAAAGUGAUCUCACAAAAAUGAUGAACAUAAUUAACAAAAAUCAAAAGGACACUGUAGAAAAAUAUUUUGGACUAUGGGUAUUAACAUUUAAUACUAGUAUAAAAGAGGCAAAAAUAAAAAGGAAAAAAAUUAUAAAAAAACGUGUACGUACAUUAUUUUUUUAUUGGUAUAACUUUACUAUUGUAAGUAAUUAUGAUAAACAUACAUUUUUAGAAUUAAAAGAGAAAAUAAAAAAAAGAUUAAAAAUUGUGUGUUUUAAUGGAUUACUAUCAUUUGGUAAAAAAAGACAAAAACAAAAAAAUUUUAUUAAAGUUUUAUUAAAAAGUAGUAACAAUAAAAAAAAGCAAACAUUUUUUAAUCUAUGGUUAUUGAUGUAUCAAUACGAAAAGUACUCUACUUAUAUAAAAGACAAAAUAAAUAAUAAAUUAAUAGAC